ensembl:snRNA U6 U6 spliceosomal RNA
UUGCUUUGUCUGCAUCUGUACUAAAAUUGGAACCAUACAGAGAAGAUUAGCAUGGCCCCUGCACAAGACUAUGACAUAGCACAAAUGCAGCUACUCUUAUUU